AUACUUAGUUAGCAGGAGAGGUGCCUUGAUCAUGAAAGAGAUUUUCACCAGAUGAAAAUUUUCACAAGGUGAGGCUCAUCCACUGCACUCUGGGCGUGCUCAUCCCCGUAUGUCCUCCAAAUGUAAGAAACUCAACUGCAUAAUUUAUGAUAGUGUAGCUUCGCUUUU